CCUCCUGGGGUUGGGUUGCAGUUCUCGAGUAUGCUGGUGAUAAGUAAGGUGGCCACACCACAAAGGACUGGACAGCCAGGAAACUUGUCUUUGUACCUUCAGGACCUUCAAAUUAAAGUAUUAAUCACCCAGCUAGGAAGAUGCAGAAAUAGUAUCAAAUAAGCCACUAGGGCAUUAGAGUUUCCGGUUUCCAUAGCAACGAAUAGCAGCUAGGUAUCUACGGAAACUGAUGUUUUGGCUGACUUCAGGCUCAUGGUUAUCACCCUCUAGUUAUUCUUAGUUGAUGAGAUCUUCUUCUGGCUAGGUAAUCGAGAUACAGUCAAGGUGACUGAAGACAGAUGGAAUGAGACUGGCAGCCUAAAAUCACUAACUCUACCUCCAGCAUUCCCCUGACUCCAGAUACUCAGCAAGUUACUCAAUUUUUGUUACUUCGAUAAAUAUCUGAGGUGAUUGGGAUCUAAGGAGCAAAGGUUCAAGUUGGGAGGCUCCAGCUCCUAAGGAGUACAGCGCUUCCUCCACAGGCUGUUCUUAAAGCAUGGGCCACUGGGGUCCAGUCAAGCCUGAUGACCUGAGUUCAUUCUCUGGAA